UACGAAGGGGGCUAGCGUUGUUCGGAAUUACUGGGCGUAAAGGGCGCGUAGGCGGUGUGUCAAGUCAGGCGUGAAAGCCCCGGGCUCAACCUGGGAACCGCGCUUGAGACUGGCACGCUAGAGUUCGGGAGAGGAUGGUGGAACUCCCAGUGUAGAGGUGAAAUUCGUAGAUAUUGGGAAGAACACCGAUGGCGAAGGCAGCCAUCUGGACCGACACUGACGCUGAGGCGCGAAAGCGUGGGGAGCAAACAGG
rnacentral:rRNA from 1 species